UGGGGAAUAUUGCACAAUGGGCGAAAGCCUGAUGCAGCGACGCCGCGUGAGGGAUGACGGCCUUCGGGUUGUAAACCUCUUUCAGCAGGGAAGAAGCGAAAGUGACGGUACCUGCAGAAGAAGCGCCGGCUAACUACGUGCCAGCAGCCGCGGUAAUACGUAGGGCGCAAGCGUUGUCCGGAAUUAUUGGGCGUAAAGAGCUCGUAGGCGGUUAGUCGCGUCUGCUGUGAAAACUCGAGGCUCAACCUCGGGCUUGCAGUGGGUACGGGCUGACUAGAGUGCGGUAGGGGUGACUGGAAUUCCUGGUGUAGCGGUGGAAUGCGCAGAUAUCAGGAGGAACACCGAUGGCGAAGGCAGGUCACUGGGCCGCAACUGACGCUGAGGAGCGAAAAGCAUGGGGAGCGAACAGGAUUAGAUACCCUGGUAGUCCAUGCCGUAAACGUUGGGCACUAGGUGUGGGGUCCAUUCCACGGAUUCCGUGCCGCAGCAAACGCAUUAAGUGCCCCGCCUGGGGAGUACGGCCGCAAGGCUAAAAACUCAAAAUGAAUUG
rnacentral:rRNA from 1 species